GACGACGCUGGCGGCGUGCCUAACACAUGCAAGUCGAGCGGGGUUGAGGCGAGAGGUAACUCGAACUUCUACCUAGCGGCGGACGGGUGAGUAACGCGUGGGCAACCUGCCUCAAGGUUUGGGAUAACAGCCCGAAAGGGCUGCUAAUACCGGAUAUGCCUAUGGCCUCGCAUGGGGCUAUGAGCAAAGGGGAAACCCGCCUUGAGAUGGGCCCGCGUCCCAUCAGCUAGUUGGUGAGGUAACAGCUCACCAAGGCGACGACGGGUAGCCGGCCUGAGAGGGUGACCGGCCACACUGGGACUGAGACACGGCCCAGACUCCUACGGGGGGCAGCAGUGGGGGAUCUUGCACAAUGGGCGAAAGCCUGAUGCAGCGACGCCGCGUGAGCGAAGAAGGCCUUCGGGUUGUAAAGCUCUGUCUGGAGGGACGAACAAAAUGACGGUACCUCCGGAGGAAGCCACGGCUAACUACGUG
rnacentral:rRNA from 1 species